GGGCUGGGGCUGAGCGGUAAAGCACUUGCCUGGCAUGUGUGAGGCACUGGGUUCGAUUCUCAGCAUCGCA
rnacentral:tRNA from 1 species